rnacentral:rRNA from 1 species
AAACCAACAGGGAUUGCCUCAGUAACGGCGAGUGAAGCGGCAAAAGCUCAAAUUUGAAAUCCCCCGGGAAUUGUAAUUUGAAGGACCUAUUAAAACCCUGAGAGAGCCCAAAGUCCAUUGGAAAAUGGCGCCAUAGAAGGUGAUAGCCCUGUGUGGACCUCUCUCAGCAUACUUUUUAGGCCCAAAGAGUCGAGUUGUUUGGGAAUGCAGCUCUAAGUGGGUGGUAAAUUCCAUCUAAAGCUAAAUAUUGGCGAGAGACCGAUAGCGAACAAGUACAGUGAUGGAAAGAUGAAAAGCACUUUGAAAAGAGAGUGAAAAAGUACGUGAAAUUGUUGAAAGGGAAGGGCUUGCAAGCAGACACAACCUCGGUUGGGCCAGCAUCGGGGCGGGGGGAAACAAAAAAGGUGUGGAAUGUGGCUCUUACGAGUGUUAUAGCCCCACCCAAUAUUUCCAUCCCAUCCCGAGGCC